UGCCACGUUUUGUUUGAAUAUUGUCAAAAGGGUUUUAUUCAGGCUAGGAUCUCACCAUUUUUCUUUUUAAUUGUUUGUUUAAGGACACUUCUGGAUAGAAUGGAGAGGGGUACACUUGAAAAACAGACGUCAGUAUCGUCAUUUGAAAAGCCUCUUUGGUUUAAAGAUAUGUAUCAACCUCUGGAGGAAAUAAGGAAAAAAGACAUGAUUGAUAAAUUACAUGAUGAAGAGUCCUCAGAAAAGGAAAACAUAUACAAUUGGGCUAGUGCAAGACCUCCAGAAAUCCCUGAGCUUAUUCCUGUGGAAAAACUGGAUCUCUUUGUACUUUUUUUUUUUAAGAAGGAGGAAAGAAAAAAAAAUUCUUUUGUUUAAAAUGGCUUCAAAACAUCAAGUUUCCACAGUACCUAAGAUGGCUUCUUCUCCGGCGAUAUUACCAGCCCAACAAACAUCUUCUCCUCCUAUACAACCACUCACGGUAAAAGACUUGCAAGAUGUCAUGGGAAAUGUUAUAUCUCAAAUUAGAGGAGAAGUGAAGGAGAUUUUAGUGGAGAAUAACAAUAUUUUGAGGCAAGAUAUAGUUUUGGCCCUAAAAGGACUUGCUUCUGUUGUUGAAAAGUUGGAUUCUUGUGUUGAAGAAGUAGUAGAUAAAGUGGAUAUAUUGGAGGAAAAGUUUGAAGGAAUGGAAAAAAAGAUGGAAAUUUCACAAGAUGAAAUUGUUAUGUCUCAAUACAGAGAGAUGGAGUAUGCUUUAAGAAUCAGAGGCUUGAGGGAAAAUACGCAAGAAAA